GAUCAUGGCUCAGGACAACGCUGGCGGCGUGCUUAACACAUGCAAGUCGAGCGAUGAAGCUCUUCGGAAGUGGAUUAGCGGCGACGGGUGAGUAACACGUGGGUAACCUGCCUCAUAGAGGGGAAUAGCCUUCCGAAAGGAAGAUUAAUACCGCAUAAGAUUGUAAUAUCGCAUGAUAUAGCAAUUAAAGGAGCAAUCCGCUAUGAGAUGGACCCGCGUCGCAUUAGCUAGUUGGUGAGGUAAACGGCUCACCAAGGCGACGAUGCGUAGCCGACCUGAGAGGGUGAUCGGCCACAUUGGGACUGAGACACGGCCCAGACUCCUACGGGAGGCAGCAGUGGGGAAUAUUGCACGAUGGGGGAAACCCUGAUGCAGACCAACGCCGCGUGAGUGAUGACGGUCUUCGGAUUGUAAAGCUCUGUCUUCAGGGACGAUAAUGACGGUACCUGAGGAGGAAGCCACGGCUAACUACGUGCCAGCAGCGGC
rnacentral:rRNA from 1 species